GGCUCAUCACAUCCUGGGGCUGUAGCAGGUCCCAAGGGUAUGGCUGUUCGCCAUUUAAAGUGGUACGCGAGCUGGGUUUAGAACGUCGUGAGACAGUUCGGUCCCUAUCUGCCGUGGGCGUUGGAAAUUUGAGAAGAGCUGCUCCUAGUACGAGAGGACCGGAGUGGACGUAUCUCUGGUGUUCCGGUUGUCACGCCAGUGGCAUUGCCGGGUAGCUAUAUACGGACAGGAUAACCGCUGAAAGCAUCUAAGCGGGAAGCCCCCUUCAAGAUUAGGUUUCUCUGGAGCCUUGAGCUCCCUGAAGUGCCCUCGAAGACUACGAGGUUGAUAGGCUGGGUGUGGAAGCGCAGUAAUGUGUGAAGCUAACCAGUACUAAUUGCACGUGAGGCUUGGCCAU
rnacentral:rRNA from 1 species